rnacentral:tRNA from 1 species
GCGAGAGUGGCGGAAUUGGCAGACGCACUGGACUUAGGAUCCAGCGCCGCAAGGCAUGUGGGUUCAAAUCCCACCUCUCGCACCA